rnacentral:rRNA from 1 species
ACACCCGUUCCCAUUCCGAACACGGAAGUUAAGCUCUUCAGCGCCGAUGGUAGUUGGGGGAUCUCCCCCUGUGAGAGUAGGACGCCGCCAAGC